rnacentral:rRNA from 1 species
GAUGAACGCUAGCGACAGGCUUAACACAUGCAAGUCGAGGGGCAGCAUAGAAGUAGCAAUACUUUGGUGGCGACCGGCGCACGGGUGAGUAACGCGUAUGCAACCUACCUAUCAGAGGGGAAUAACCCGGCGAAAGUCGGACUAAUACCGCAUAAAACAGGGGCACCGCAUGGUGAUAUUUGUUAAAGAAAUUCGCUGAUAGAUGGGCAUGCGUUCCAUUAGGUAGUUGGUGAGGUAACGGCUCACCAAGCCGACGAUGGAUAGGGGAACUGAGAGGUUGGUCCCCCACACUGGUACUGAGACACGGACCAGACUCCUACGGGAGGCAGCAGUGAGGAAUAUUGGUCAAUGGGCGAGAGCCUGAACCAGCCAAGUCGCGUGAAGGAAGAAGGAUCUAUGGUUCGUAAACUUCUUUUGCAGGGGAAUAAAGUGCGGGACGUGUCCUGUUUUGUAUGUACCCUGAGAAUAAGGAUCGGCUGACUCCGUGCCAGCAGCCGCAGUAACAC